GAUUAACGCUGGCGGCGUGCCUAACACAUGCAAGUCGAGCGGCAGCGAGUUUUACACUGAAUUCUGGAAGCUUCUAGUUGAAAGAGAAGAUUUAUUCAAGAAUUUUGUGUAAAAUGUCGGCGAGCGGCGGACGGCUGAGUAACGCGUGGGAACGUACCCCAAAGUGAGGGAUAACGCAUCGAAAGGUGUGCUAAUACCGCAUAUGGUCUUCGGAUUAAAGCCUUCGGGCGCUUUGGGAACGGCCUGCGUAAGAUUAGAUAGUUGGUGGGGUAAUGGCCUACCUAGUCGACGAUCUUUAACUGGUUUGAGAGGAUGAUCAGUCAGACUGGAACUGAGACACGGUCCAGACUCCUACGGGAGGCAGCAGUGAGGAAUCUUCCACAAUGGGCGAAAGCCUGAUGGAGCAACGCCGCGUGCAGGAUGGAGGCCUUCGGGUUGUAAACUGCUUUUAUAAGUGAGGAUUAUGACAGUAACUUAUGAAUAAGGAUCGGCUAACUACGUG
rnacentral:rRNA from 1 species